GGAGUUGUAGUUUUACAACAGCUGGAGGGCCGCAGGUUGAGCAUGCCUGCCACCGAAGGUCUACGGGCCCAUUAUGCUUCCUUCUCCUGCUGCGAAGAGAGAGACUGCGCUAUGCAAGUGCUCCUCUAUCCUUGUUAUAGAGAUCGUUGGGGUCUCAGCACUCAGACACCCAACAAUCAAAACCUUUGAUAUGUCGCUAUGACUAUGAUUAAAAGUCUUAAGAAAGCCCAGUGACCCUUUAAACUGUACCUCCGCAUCUGGUGUUAUGGUAGCUAGAUGGACAGUAAACUGCUUCAAUAACAAUCCUCUAACAUUGAUGGCAGUCUAUACGCUGAAAUGGCUUGUUGACUAUGCUGUUGUGGAUUGGAGGGUCUGUACUUGGAAAGGUGGAAUACAAUUAUCUUCAUAUUUUCCCCAAUGGGUGUAUAGCUACCUGGCUGUAGUGGGCGCCUGUGUCCUUGUUGCUGGGUGCUAUGGAGGCCAAUGACAAGUCACUUUGCUUUGGCCAGGGAACCUAGCUACAGGACUAGAGAAGCUAACUGAUUCUUUGCCCUCGGAGAAGGAAAGCCUUGCUAUGACAGCUGGAAGGUCACAGGUUCGAGAUUAGAGUUAAAAAGCAUACACGUAAUGAAGCAAUACACGAUGCCCCAUAGGUACUGUGAGGUGGAAAUUGGCACUAAAC